rnacentral:rRNA from 1 species
GACGAACGCUGGCGGUGUGCUUAACACAUGCAAGUCGAGCGGAGCAGCGAACGGGUGAGUAACGCGUGAGUAACUGCCCCCCCCUCUGGGAUAACAGUUGGAAACGGCUGCGAAUACCGGAUAGUGGGGGAUGACUCGCGUCCUAUCAGUUUCUUGGUGGGGUAGUGGCGUACCAAGGAGACGACGGGUAGCCGGCCUGAGAGGGCGACCGGCCACAUUGGGCUGAGAUACGGCCGAAACUCCUACGGGAGGCAGCAGUGGGGAAUAUUGCACAAUGGGGGAAACCCUGAUGCAGCAACGCGCGUGCGGGAUGAAGUCCUUCGGGUUGUAAACCGCUUUCAGCCAUGACGCGGUAGUGUCAGAAGAAGCACCGGCUAACUACGUGCCAGCAGCCGCGGUAAUUC